AGUCCCUGGUUAGUGUUCCGGACCUAUCAUCGGUUCCAAAUCUGGAGAGCUUGGAUCUUCAUUUGUGCGAAAGCUUGGUGGAGGUUCACCAAUCCGUCGGGUAUCUUGACAAGUUAAAAUUUUUGUUACUAACGUUGUGCUCUAAUCUUAGUAUCUUUCCCAAUCCACUCAUGACAAAAUCUCUUCAAACCCUCAGUCUCUCUGGUUGCUCUAAACUUGAGAAGUUUCCUGAUAUUCCGGGAAAGAUGGAACAUCUAGAAAAACUUGAUCUAGAAAGGACCGCCAUCAAAGAACUCCCCGCAUCAAUUGAAAAUCUUGUCUCUCGUGAA